rnacentral:rRNA from 1 species
GACGAACCGUCCAAACGUUAUUCGGAAUCACUGGGCUUAAAGGGUGCGUAGGCGGCGCGGAAAGUUGGGUGUGAAAUCCCUCGGCUUAACCGAGGAACGGCGCCCAAAACUACCGUGCUUGAGGGAGAUAGAGGUGAGCGGAACUUAGGGUGGAGCGGUGAAAUGCGUUGAUAUCCUAAGGAACACCGGUGGCGAAAGCGGCUCACUGGAUCUCUUCUGACGCUGAUGCGCGAAAGCGUGGGGAGCAAACGGG